rnacentral:rRNA from 1 species
CCUACGGGAGGCAGCAGUGGGGAAUAUUGCUCAAUGGGGGAAACCCUGAAGCAGCAACGCCGCGUGGAGGAUGAAGGUUUUCGGAUUGUAAACUCCUUUUGUUAGAGAAGAUAAUGACGGUAUCUAACGAAUAAGCACCGGCUAACUCCGUGCCAGCAGCCGCGGUAAUACGGAGGGUGCAAGCGUUACUCGGAAUCACUGGGCGUAAAGCGCGCGUAGGCGGGAUAGCAAGUCAGAUGUGAAAUCCUAUGGCUUAACCAUAGAACUGCAGUGGAAACUGUUAUUCUAGAGUAUGGGAGAGGUAGGUGGAAUUCUUGGUGUAGGGGUAAAAUCCGUAGAGAUCAAGAGGAAUACUCAUUGCGAAGGCGACCUGCUAGAACAUAACUGACGCUGAUGCGCGAAAGCGUGGGGAGCAAACAGGAUUAGAUACCCUUGUAGUC